rnacentral:rRNA from 1 species
GGAGGCAGCAGUGAGGAAUAUUGGUCAAUGGACGAGAGUCUGAACCAGCCAAGUAGCGUGCAGGAUGACGGCCCUAUGGGUUGUAAACUGCUUUUAUAAGGGAAUAAAGUGAGUCUCGUGAGACUUUUUGCAUGUACCUUAUGAAUAAGGACCGGCUAAUUCCGUGCCAGCAGCCGCGGUAAUACGGAAGGUCCGGGCGUUAUCCGGAUUUAUUGGGUUUAAAGGGAGCGUAGGCCGGAGAUUAAGCGUGUUGUGAAAUGUAGACGCUCAACGUCUGCACUGCAGCGCGAACUGGUUUCCUUGAGUACGCACAAAGUGGGCGGAAUUCGUGGUGUAGCGGUGAAAUGCUUAGAUAUCACGAAGAACUCCGAUUGCGAAGGCAGCUCACUGGAGCGCAACUGACGCUGAAGCUCGAAAGUGCGGGUAUCGAACAGGAUUAGAUACCCUGGUAGUCCGCACGGUAAACGAUGGAUGCCCGCUGUUGGUCUGAAUAGGUCAGCGGCCAAGCGAAAGCAUUAAGCAUCCCACCUGGGGAGUACGCCGGCAACGGUGAAACUCAAAGGAAUUGACGGGGGCCCGCACAAGCGGAGGAACAUGUGGUUUAAUUCGAUGAUACGCGAGGAACCUUACCCGGGCUUGAAUUGCAGAGGAAGGAUUUGGAGACAAUGACGCCCUUCGGGGCCUCUGUGAAGGUGCUGCAUGGUUGUCGUCAGCUCGUGCCGUGAGGUGUCGGCUUAAGUGCCAUAACGAGCGCAACCCCUCUCCUUAGUUGCCAUCAGGUCAAGCUGGGCACUCUGGGGACACUGCCACCGUAAGGUGUGAGGAAGGUGGGGAUGACGUCAAAUCAGCACGGCCCUUACGUCCGGGGCUACACACGUGUUACAAUGGCAGGUACAGAGAGACGGUCCCUUGCAAAAUGGAUCAAAUCCUUAAAGCCUGUCUCAGUUCGGACUGGGGUCUGCAACCCGACCCCACGAAGCUGGAUUCGCUAGUAAUCGCGCAUCAGCCAUGGCGCGGUGAAUACGUUCCCGGGCCUUGUACACACCGCCCGUCAAGCCAUGAAAGCCGGGGGCGCCUAAAGUCCGUGACCGUAAGGAGCGGCCUAGGGCGAAACUGGUAAUUGGGGCUAAGUCGUAACAAGGUAGCCGUACCGGAAGGUGCGGCUG